UUCGGGGUACUCGAGUGGGUACNCGAACGGGUGAGUAACACGUGGGUGAUCUGCCCUGCACUUUGGGCUAAGCCUGGGAAACUGGGUCUAAUACCGAAUAGGACCACGCGCUUCAUGGUGUGUGGUGGAAAGCUUUUGCGGUGUGGGAUGGGCCCGCGGCCUAUCAGCUUGUUGGUGGGGUAAUGGCCUACCAAGGCGACGACGGGUAGCCGGCCUGAGAGGGUGACCGGCCACACUGGGACUGAGAUACGGCCCAGACUCCUACGGGAGGCAGCAGUGGGGAAUAUUGCACAAUGGGCGCAAGCCUGAUGCAGCGACGCCGCGUGAGGGAUGACGGCCUUCGGGUUGUAAACCUCUUUCAAUAGGGACGAAGCGCAAGUGACGGUACCUAUAGAAGAAGCACCGGCCAACUACGUGCCAGCAGCCGCGGUAAUACGUAGGGUGCGAGCGUUGUCCGGAAUUACUGGGCGUAAAGAGCUCGUAGGUGGUUUGUCGCGUUGUUCGUGAAAACUCACAGCUUAACUGUGGGCGUGCGGGCGAUACGGGCAGACUAGAGUACUGCAGGGGAGACUGGAAUUCCUGGUGUAGCGGUGGAAUGCGCAGAUAUCAGGAGGAACACCGGUGGCGAAGGCGGGUCUCUGGGCAGUAACUGACGCUGAGGAGCGAAAGCGUGGGGAGCGAACAGGAUUAGAUACCCUGGUAGUCCACGCNGUAAACGGUGGGUACUAGGUGUGGGUUCCUUCCUUGGGAUCCGUGCCGUAGCUAACGCAUUAAGUACCCCGCCUGGGGAGUACGGCCGCAAGGCUAAAACUCAAAGGAAUUGACGGGGGCCCGCACAAGCGGCGGAGCAUGUGGAUUAAUUCGAUGCAACGCGAAGAACCUUACCUGGGUUUGACAUGCACAGGACGCCGGCAGAGAUGUCGGUUCCCUUGUGGCCUGUGUGCAGGUGGUGCAUGGCUGUCGUCAGCUCGUGUCGUGAGAUGUUGGGUUAAGUCCCGCAACGAGCGCAACCCUUGUCCUAUGUUGCCAGCGGGUUAUGCCGGGGACUCGUAGGAGACUGCCGGGGUCAACUCGGAGGAAGGUGGGGAUGACGUCAAGUCAUCAUGCCCCUUAUGUCCAGGGCUUCACACAUGCUACAAUGGCCGGUACAAAGGGCUGCGAUGCCGUGAGGUGGAGCGAAUCCUUUCAAAGCCGGUCUCAGUUCGGAUCGGGGUCUGCAACUCGACCCCGUGAAGUCGGAGUCGCUAGUAAUCGCAGAUCAGCAACGCUGCGGUGAAUACGUUCCCGGGCCUUGUACACACCGCCCGUCACGUCAUGAAAGUCGGUAACACCCGAAGCCG
rnacentral:rRNA from 1 species